GAUAACUGCUUGCUUGGCUUUAAUCAAUACAAUUGCUUCUCAUUAUAGUGAUGGACAAGUGGCACCUGAUAUAGAAACAGAGUUUUAUCGCCUUCAAGGUGAUCUUUAUUCACUAUGCCGGAUUAAGUUCAUGAGGCUUGCAUAUUUAAUUGGUUAUGGAUCAGAUAUAGAAACAAGUCCUGUCAACAGUGCUUCACUCAGCAUGCUACCUUGGCCUAAGCCCGCAGUUUGGCCUUUAGUUCCACCUGAUGCUUCAUCUGAGGUGUUUGAGAAGGAAAAGGUGAGGUUUUUAAUUUGGUAUUAU